CCUACGGGAGGCAGCAGUGAGGAAUAUUGGUCAAUGGACGCAAGUCUGAACCAGCCAUGCCGCGUGCAGGAAGACGGCUCUAUGAGUUGUAAACUGCUUUUGUACGAGGGUAAACGCAGCUACGUAUAUCUGUCUGAAAGUAUCGUACGCAUAAGGAUCGGCUAACUCCGUGCCCGCAGCCGCGGUACUACGGAGGAUUCCAGCGUUUUCCGGAUUUAUUGGGUUUAAAGGGUGCGUAGGCGGUGGGAUAAGUUAGAGGUGAAAUUCAGGGGCUCAACAUCGGAAUUGCCUCUGAUACUGUUCGGCUAGAGAGUAGUUGCGGUAGGCGGAAUGUAUGGUGUAGCGGUGAAAUGCUUAGAGAUCAUACAGAACACCGAUUGCGAAGGCAGCUUACCAAGCUACAUCUGACGUUGAGGCACGAAAGCGUGGGGAGCAAACAGGAUUAGAUACCCGAGUAGUC
rnacentral:rRNA from 1 species